CUACGGGAUGCAGCAGUGGGGAAUAUUGCACAAUGGAGGAAACUCUGAUGCAGCAACGCCGCGUGGAGGAUGACACUUUUCGGAGCGUAAACUCCUUUUAUAUAGGAAGAAGAUGACGGUACUAUAUGAAUAAGCGCCGGCUAACUCCGUGCCAGCAGCCGCGGUAAUACGGAGGGCGCAAGCGUUACUCGGAAUCACUGGGCGUAAAGAGCGUGUAGGCGGAUUAAAAAGUCAGAAGUGAAAUCCUAUAGCUUAACUAUGGAACUGCUUCUGAAACUCUUAAUCUAGAAUAUGGGAGAGGUAGAUGGAAUUUCUGGUGUAGGGGUAAUAUCCGUAGAGAUCAGAAGGAAUACCGAUUGCGAAGGCGAUCUACUAGAACAUUAUUGACGCUGAGACGCGAAAGCGUGGGGAGCAAACAGGAUUAGAUACCCCUGUAGUC
rnacentral:rRNA from 1 species